AUCCCAGCUAUCCUUAACCUGCAUCUUUGCAACUCCCUCUUGCAGCUGUUGGAUGCUUCUAUGAAUAGACUCUGAAUGAUUAGACAAAUUCAUACAACACAUUCCUUGAAAUUAUUUACA